rnacentral:rRNA from 1 species
GAUGAACGCUAGCGGCAGGCCUAACACAUGCAAGUCGAGGGAGGAGCCUUCGGGCUUCGACCGGCGUACGGGUGCGUAACGCGUAUACAAUCUGCCUUUCACAUAGGGAUAGCCCGAAGAAAUUUGGAUUAAUACCUAAUGGUAUAUAGAUGUGGCAUCACAUUUAUAUUAAAGCUGAGGCGGUGAAAGAUGAGUAUGCGUUCUAUUAGCUAGUUGGAGAGGUAACGGCUCCCCAAGGCUACGAUAGAUAGGGGUUCUGAGAGGGAUAUCCCCCACACUGGUACUGAGAUACGGACCAGACUCCUACGGGAGGCAGCAGUGAGGAAUAUUGGACAAUGGUCGAAAGACUGAUCCAGCCAUGCCGCGUGCAGGAAGACGGCCUUAUGGGUUGUAAACUGCUUUUGCAGGGGAAGAAUAAGGACUACGAGUAGUUUGAU